rnacentral:ncRNA from 1 species
UCAGUUGCGUUGAUGAGAAGAGUAGCAAGCAUGAUUGCUUUAAAGAGAACCGUUCAUCGGUGAAAGACGGUAACAAUAAUACCUGCGAAGAUGAGCUCAGAGCAUUAGGCACGUGAAAGCGAUGCCUACGUUAAGACCCGUUACCGUCUCAAACUUGACUAGCCAUUGGCAAAAGAGUUGAUGAGGUGAUUGCUGCAAAACAAUCACAAAUUUGGGUGGUACCGCGUCAAAACGUCCCUGCA